rnacentral:misc_RNA from 1 species
GUAAGUAUAUCGUCAAUGUUAUACUCGGCUUCCUCAAUGACUUUUUGUCAAUAACAAUGACAAGAAGAAGUUGGUGGAGCGACAGACGCUUCCUCGAAGAAGAUAAUCGUGUCACUCACACCGCAUUCCGAUUUGAAGAAGUCCAAUAAACUGUAUCACUUUAUUAGGAGAGCAGAAGGUUUGUGAGUGAGUUCGGGUUCCCUGUCCGACUUAAUCCUGAGAUUUUAGGCAACCAGACCUCAUUCGUCGGAAUCCAUGACCCCUCCAAAUCCUCGUCGACCAAUAGGAAACGACUCGCGACAGGAUCGCAUGAUCUCGAGGGAAGGACGCGGUAUCGGGGCGCGUCGGCCAGAAAGGGCAUGAAAAAAGGAACGA